UGUGGGUUAUCUUGAUACUAAAUGGUAUAUACUAAAUUUUGUGAACUUGUAUAAUUAUUAAUAUUUAUGUCAUAGUAAGGUUUUCUAGUUAAAAGUAGAUUUUAAGUCAUAUUUUUCAAUACUUGCUUCAGUACUUUUAAUUUGUUUUUGUCUCUCUUCAUAGUUUGAUGCUGCAAAAUUAAGAAAGCUAAGACCAAGUUUCAAGCAGAACGAGGGCUCUGUUACUGCUGGCAAUGCUUCAAUCAUAAGUGAUGGUGCAGCUGCAUUAGUCCUAGUGAGUGGAGAGAAGGCACUGCAACUUGGAUUGCAAGUAAUUGCAAAGAUUAAGGGCUAUGCUGAUGCAACUCAGGUACUCCAAUGAAUUGGCUUCCUAGUUCUAUUUUACUGUUGCUGAAACAUAGCUCAAAGAAGAUUAUCUUCGCAGGCACCUGAAUUCUUUACAACUGCUCCAGCCCUUGUGAUACCAAAAGCUAUUUCAAAUGCUGGUUUAGAUGCUUCUCAGAUUGAUUACUAUGAAAUAAAUGAAGCGUUUUCUGUUGUAGCUCUUGCCAAUCAAAAGCUGCUUGGUCUUAAUCCUG